rnacentral:rRNA from 1 species
UACGUAGGGGGCUAGCGUUGUCCGGAAUCAUUGGGCGUAAAGAGCGUGUAGGCGGUCCGGUAAGUCCGCUGUGAAAGUCGGGGGCUCAACCCUCGAAUGCCGGUGGAUACUGUCGGGCUAGAGUGCGGAAGAGGCGAGUGGAAUUCCUGGUGUAGCGGUGAAAUGCGCAGAUAUCAGGAGGAACACCUAUUGCGAAGGCAGCUCGCUGGGACGUAAUUGACGCUGAGGAGCGAAGACGUGGGGAGCAAACAGG